rnacentral:rRNA from 1 species
GACGAACGCUGGCGGCGUGCCUAAUACAUGCAAGUCGAGCGGACCAAACAGGAGCUUGCUCUUGUUUGGUUAGCGGCGGACGGGUGAGUAACACGUGGGUAACCUGCCCGUAAGACCGGGAUAACUCCGGGAAACCGGAGCUAAUACCGGAUAACACCGAAGACCGCAUGGUCUUUGGUUGAAAGGCGGCUUCGGCUGCCACUUACGGAUGGGCCCGCGGCGCAUUAGCUAGUUGGUGAGGUAACGGCUCACCAAGGCGACGAUGCGUAGCCGGCCUGAGAGGGUGACCGGCCACACUGGGACUGAGACACGGCCCAGACUCCUACGGGAGGCAGCAGUAGGGAAUCGUCCGCAAUGGACGAAAGUCUGACGGAGCGACGCCGCGUGAGCGAAGAAGGUCUUCGGAUCGGAAAGCUCUGUUGUUAGGGAAGAAGAAGCGCCGUUCGAACAGGGCGGCGCGGUGACGGUACCUAACGAGAAAGCCCCGGCUAACUACGUG